rnacentral:piRNA from 1 species
CGAGAUUGGUUGUCUAAGGUGUAUUG